rnacentral:rRNA from 1 species
GAUGAACGCUGGCGGUAUGCUUAACACAUGCAAGUCGAACGGUGUCUUCGGACAUAGUGGCGGACGGGUGAGUAACGCGUGAGAAUCUAGCUUCAGGUCGGGGACAACCACGGGAAACUGUGGCUAAUACCGGAUAUGCCGAGAGGUGAAAGGCUUGCUGCCUGAAGAUGAGCUCGCGUCUGAUUAGCUAGUAGGUGUGGUAAAAGCGCACCUAGGCGACGAUCAGUAGCUGGUCUGAGAGGAUGAUCAGCCACACUGGGACUGAGACACGGCCCAGACUCCUACGGGAGGCAGCAGUGGGGAAUUUUCCGCAAUGGGCGAAAGCCUGACGGAGCAAUACCGCGUGAGGGAGGAAGGCUCUUGGGUUGUAAACCUCUUUUC